rnacentral:rRNA from 1 species
AUUGAACGCUGGCGGCAGGCCUAACACAUGCAAGUCGAGCGAGAAAGGUCUUCGGACUGAGUACAGCGGCGGACGGGUGAGUAAUGCUUGGGAAUCUGCCUAGUAGUGGGGGACAACACGAGGAAACUCGUGCUAAUACCGCAUACGUCCUACGGGAGAAAGUGGGGGAUCUUCGGACCUCACGCUAUUAGAUGAGCCCAAGUCGGAUUAGCUUGUUGGUGAGGUAACGGCUCACCAAGGCGACGAUCCGUAGCUGGUUUGAGAGGAUGACCAGCCACACUGGGACUGAGACACGGCCCAGACUCCUACGGGAGGCAGCAGUGGGGAAUAUUGGACAAUGGGCGAAAGCCUGAUCCAGCAAUACCGCGUGUGUGAAGAAGGCCUGCGGGUUGUAAAGCACUUUCAGUAGGGAAGAUUAUGACGGUACCUACAGAAGAAGCACCGGCUAACUCCGUG